AAAAUCUAUAAUAAAUCUUAAAUGAAUCCUUAAGAAUCCUAAAAAAUAUUAAAAUAAUUAAAAUUAUAUCUUAAAUAAAUUUCAACCAAAUUCUAAUUUAAUCCUUGUUGAAACCUUAAUGGACUUCAAUCAAAUCUUAGACAAACACUAAACUUUAAACCAAAUUUUAGACAAAUCCUAAACUCUAAAUCAAACCUUAGACAAAUCUUAACUCUUAGACAAAACCCUAGACAAAUCUCAAAUCCUAAAUCAAAUCUUACAUAAAUUUUAAAUUCUAAAUAAAAUCCUAGAAAAAUCCUAAAUCCUAAACCAAAUCUUAGACAAAUUCUAAACCUUAAAUCAAUUCCUAGAUAAAUCCUAAAUCCUAAAUCCUAAACCAAAUCCCAGACAAACUUUUAAUCCUAAACCAAAUCUUAGAUAAAUUCUAAAUUCUAAAUCAGAUUCUAAAUCCUAAACCACAUUUUAAACAAAUUCUAAGUCCUUAAUUAAAUCCUAGACAAAUCCUAAACCAUAAACCAAAUUUUAGACAAACUCUUUUAUCCAUAAACCAAA
rnacentral:lncRNA from 1 species